CUCUUCAGAUCUAGCAAGGCUUACAGAAGGAUGUUCUUUCAGGAGGAAGCAGCACUAAAAGCACUCUGAAUCAAGAUGAGUGGGAAACCAUCCCAAUAAACACAUUUUGGAU